CAGGGAACUGAAACAUCUAAGUACCUGGAGGAAGAGAAAGCAAAUGCGAUUUCCUGAGUAGCGGCGAGCGAAACGGAACAUAGCCCAAACCAAGAGGCUUGCCUCUUGGGGUUGUAGGACAUUCUAUACGGAGUUACAAAGGAACGAGGUAGACGAAGCGACCUGGAAAGGUCCGUCGUAGAGGGUAACAACCCCGUAGUCGAAACUUCGUUCUCUCUUGAAUGUAUCCUGAGUACGGCGGAACACGUGAAAUUCCGUCGGAAUCUGGGAGGACCAUCUCCCAAGGCUAAAUACUCCCUAGUGAUCGAUAGUGAACCAGUACCGUGAGGGAAAGGUGAAAAGCACCCCGGAAGGGGAGUGAAAGAGAUCCUGAAAC
rnacentral:rRNA from 1 species